GACAGAGGAUGCAAGCGUUAUCCGGAAUGAUUGGGCGUAAAGCGUCUGUAGGUGGCUUUUUAAGUCCGCCGUCAAAUCCCAGGGCUCAACCCUGGACAGGCGGUGGAAACUACCAAGCUGGAGUACGGUAGGGGCAGAGGAAAUUUCCGGUGGAGCGGUGAAAUGACGUAGAUAUCGGGAAGAACACCAAAGGCGAAAGCACUUUGCUGGGCCGAAACUGACACUGAUAGACGAAAGCUAGGGGAGCAAAUGGG
rnacentral:rRNA from 1 species